CAGAAAGAAGCAGGGGCCCCCUCCACGUGCCAGGACCCUCAGGGAGCUUUUUGCUGUCUUCCCUCCCACCUACCCUGAAGCCUGAACCACUGAAGCCUGGCUGAGAUUGAAGCUUCCGAAACAGAGCCCCUUCCUGCCCUCCCCCAGGAAGCCCCAACCCGGAUGCACAGAGGAGCUGGAUUUCUAGCUCAGAUGCUGUGUGUCUACCGCUUUGGCAGAGAGGACUACAGGCCUCUUCAAACGACUUCAGCAAUGUGUCAGAGCUUCUGCCAGCAGUAGGAAUUUGGCUACACCCCAGUUUUCCAAAGCUUGCCUCUCUUCUUUGGAGAAGCUCUGAUCCUCACUAUUGCCUGUGGUCAUAUGUCUCCAACUCCUGCGGGUUUCCGGUGCAAACUCUUCAGGCUCAAAACAUGCCCUUCAGCAUUCAGCAUGGAUUCAGCCAGACUCCAGGCCUUGGACUUUCAACACUAUCCCCUUGCUCUCCAGCACACACAUGGCCAGUUUACAUUUUCCCCCUCUGAUCUGGCAGAUGGCUGUUUGGACUCUUCCACUUCUGAUCCUGUAAGAAUACCUAGUAAAUCCUUCAUAUAAGC